UUAAAGACCUAGUAAUAGGUAUGCUUUAGGAGGGGCUUGCGCCAUAUUAGUUAGUUGGUAGGGUAAUGGCCUACCAAGACGAUGAUGUGUAGCUGGACUGAGAGGUUGAACAGCCACAUUGGGACUGAGACACGGCCCAAACUCCUACGGGAGGCAGCAGUAGGGAAUUUUCGGCAAUGGAGGAAACUCUGACCGAGCAACGCCGCGUGAAUGACGAAGUACUUCGGUAUGUAAAGUUCUUUUAUCAAGGAAGAAAAGCAAAUGGCGAACCAUUUGUUUGCCGGUACUUGAUGAAUAAGCCCCGGCUAAUUAUGUGCCAGCAGCCGCGGUAAGACAUAAGGGGCAAGUGUUAUCCGGAAUUAUUGGGCGUAAAGGGUGCGUAGGCGGUCUAGUAAGUCAGUGGUGUAAUGGCAACGCUUAACGUUGUCCGGCUAUUGAAACUGCUAAACUUGAGUUAGAUAGAGGCGAGUGGAAUUCCAUGUGUAGCGGUAAAAUGCGUAAAUAUAUGGAGGAACACCAGAGGCGUAGGCGGCUCGCUGGGUCUUAACUGACGCUGAGGCACGAAAGCGUGGGGAGCAAACAGGAUUAGAUACCCUGGUAGUCCACGCCGUAAACGAUGAGUACUAAGUGUCGGGUUAAACCGGUACUGAAGUUAACACAUUAAGUACUCCGCCUGAGUAGUACGUACGCAAGUAUGAAACUUAAAGGAAUUGACGGGACUCCGCACAAGCGGUGGAUCAUGUUGUUUAAUUCGAAGAUACCCGAAAAACCUUACCAGGUCUUGACAUGUUUUUGCAAAAUGAUAGUAAUAUCGUGGAGGUUACCAGAAACACAGGUGGUGCAUGGUUGUCGUCAGCUCGUGUCGUGAGAUGUUAGGUUAAGUCCUAAAACGAGCGAAACCCUUAUCGUUAGUUGCCAGCACGUUAUGGUGGGGACUUUAACGAGACUGCCAAUGAUAAAUUGGAGGAAGGUGAGGAUCACGUCAAAUCAGCAUGCCCCUUAUGACCUGGGCUACAAACGUGAUACAAUGGCUGUUACAAAGGGUAGCUGAAACGCAAGUUCUUGGCCAAUCCCCAAAAACAGUCCCAGUCCGGAUUGAAGUCUGCAACUCGACUUCAUGAAGUUGGAAUCGCUAGUAAUCGCGAA
rnacentral:rRNA from 1 species